rnacentral:rRNA from 1 species
AUUGAACGCUGGCGGCAUGCCUAACACAUGCAAGUCGAACGGUAACGCGGGGCAACCCUGGCGACGAGUGGCGGACGGGUGAGUAAUACUUAGGAAUCUGCCUAAUAGUGGGGGACAACCCGAGGAAACUCGGGCUAAUACCGCAUACGACCUACGGGAGAAAGCGGGGACCGUAAGGCCUCGCGCUAUUAGAUGAGCCUAAGUCCGAUUAGCUAGUUGGCGGGGGUAAUAGCCCACCAAGGCGACGACGGUAGCUGGUCUGAGAGGAUGAUCAGCCACACUGGGACUGAGACACGGCCCAGACUCCUACGGGAGGCAGCAGUGGGGAAUAUUGGACAAU